AGUGAACGCUGGCGGUAGGCCUAACACAUGCCAGUCGAACGGCAGCACAGUAAGAGCUUGCUCUUACGGGUGGCGAGUGGCGGACGGGUGAGGAAUACAUCGGAAUCUACUUUUUCGUGGGGGAUAACGUAGGGAAACUUACGCUAAUACCGCAUACGACCUACGGGUGAAAGCAGGGGAUCUUCGGACCUUGCGCGAUUGAAUGAGCCGAUGUCGGAUUAGCUAGUUGGCGAGGUAAAGGCCCACCAAGGCGACGAUCCGUAGCUGGUCUGAGAGGAUGAUCAGCCACACUGGAACUGAGACACGGUCCAGACUCCUACGGGAGGCAGCAGUGGGGAAUAUUGGACAAUGGGCGCAAGCCUGAUCCAGCCAUACCGCGUGGGUGAAGAAGGCCUUCGGGUUGUAAAGCCCUUUUGUUGGGAAAGAAAAGCAGCAGGUUAAUACCCGGCUGUUCUGACGGUACCCAAAGAAUAAGCACCGGCUAACUUCGUG
rnacentral:rRNA from 1 species